rnacentral:rRNA from 1 species
UAAGCGUGCGCAGGCGGUUAUGUAAGACAGAUGUGAAAUCCCCGGGCUCAACCUGGGAACUGCAUUAGUGACUGCAUAGCUGGAGUACGGCAGAGGGGGAUGGAAUUCCGCGUGUAGCAGUGAAAUGCGUAGAUAUGCGGAGGAACACCGAUGGCGAAGGCAAUCCCCUGGGCCUGUACUGACGCUCAUGCACGAAAGCGUGGGGAGCAAACAGGAUUAGAUACCCGUGU